GCUGCCUGAGAUGGAAAUCGGGGGAGGAAGCUCGCGGAAGAAACAGCGGAGGGUCGUGGAAAAAAAGCAAUGGCUGAGCUAGGGAUGGGGUACCAGGUAGGGGGAGGAAACGGUAGAGAGAAAUAGGUGGGGCUCGCGCGCAUGCUCAAUAGGAAGGGGCGCCGGUGGGGUGCGGACGCAUGCGUAGUGGGCUUCUCGGGCGGUGGGGUGGGCGCGGAAUUUGGAGACCCACUUCGGGAAAGGAUGGUGGUGCCUUCGCUGAAGCUUCAGGACCUCAUCGAAGAGAUUCGCGGGGCCAAGACUCAGGCCCAGGAGCGGGAGGUGAUCCAAAAGGAGUGUGCCCACAUCCGGGCCUCCUUCCGCGACGGGGACCCAGUGCACAGGCACCGGCAGCUGGCCAAACUGCUCUACGUCCACAUGUUGGGCUACCCCGCCCACUUUGGACAGAUGGAGUGCCUGAAACUGAUCGCCUCCUCCAGAUUCACAGACAAGAGGGUGGGCUACCUGGGGGCCAUGCUUCUAUUGGAUGAGAGGCACGAUGCCCACCUGCUCAUUACCAACAGCAUCAAGAAUGACCUGAGCCAGGGGAUUCAGCCAGUACAAGGCCUGGCCUUGUGCACUUUGAGCACCAUGGGCUCUGCUGAGAUGUGCCGAGACCUGGCCCCAGAGGUGGAGAAACUGCUCCUGCAGCCCAGUCCCUACGUGCGCAAGAAGGCUAUUCUGACUGCAGUGCACAUGAUCCGGAAGGUCCCUGAACUCUCCAGUGUCUUCCUCCCACCCUGUGCCCAACUGCUUCAUGAGCGUCACCAUGGUAAGGCUGUGGGGCCCCCCAUCCUUUGCUUCAGGUCUAUGGACAGAAGAAUUGAAAAUCGGAUGGGAACCCCAGCUCAUAGGAGAAUGGUAGUGCACACACACAGGCACACACGCAAUAGACUCUCUUGCCCCUGGCCCCCACCAUUCACUUCCCCGACCCUGACCCCAGGCAUCCUGCUGGGCACCAUCACGCUGAUCACGGAGCUCUGCGAACGAAGCCCUGCAGCCCUCAGGCACUUCCGAAAGGUGGUACCCCAGCUGGUACACAUCCUCCGGACUCUGGUGACAAUGGGAUACUCCACAGAACACAGCAUAUCUGGAGUCAGCGACCCCUUCCUGCAGGUCCAGAUACUUCGUCUGCUUCGGAUCCUGGGCCGGAACCACGAGGAGAGCAGUGAGACCAUGAAUGACUUGCUGGCCCAGGUGGCCACUAACACGGACACCAGCCGAAAUGCCGGAAAUGCGGUCCUGUUUGAGACAGUACUCACCAUCAUGGAUAUCCGCUCUGCAGCUGGCCUACGGGUUCUAGCUGUCAACAUUCUUGGCCGCUUCCUACUCAACAGUGACAGGAACAUUAGGUAUGUAGCCCUGACAUCACUGCUUCGACUGGUGCAGUCUGAUCACAGUGCUGUGCAGCGGCAUCGGCCUACUGUGGUGGAAUGUCUACGGGAAACUGAUGCCUCCCUCAGCCGGAGAGCCCUGGAACUAAGCCUGGCUCUGGUAAAUAGCUCCAAUGUGCGAGCCAUGAUGCAAGAGCUGCAGGCCUUUCUGGAGUCCUGCCCUCCUGACCUACGGGCUGACUGUGCCUCAGGCAUCCUGCUGGCUGCAGAGAGGUUUGCUCCAACCAAACGCUGGCACAUAGACACCAUCCUGCAUGUGCUGACAACGGCGGGCACCCAUGUGCGGGAUGAUGCAGUGGCCAACCUGACCCAGCUGAUUGGGGGGGCCCAGGAGCUACAUGCCUACUCUGUGCGCCGCCUCUACAAUGCCCUGGCAGAAGACAUUUCCCAGCAACCACUGGUGCAGGUGGCAGCCUGGUGCAUUGGGGAGUAUGGGGACCUCCUGCUGGCGGGGAACUGCGAGGAGAUUGAGCCCCUUCAGGUGGACGAAGAGGAAGUGCUGGCAUUGCUGGAAAAGGUGCUGCAGUCCCAUAUGUCCCUGCCAGCCACUCGAGGAUAUGCCCUCACAGCCCUCAUGAAGCUCAGCACUCGCCUCUGUGGGGACAACAACCGCAUCCGCCAGGUGGUGUCCAUCUACGGGAGCUGCUUGGACGUGGAGCUGCAGCAGCGGGCUGUGGAGUAUGACACACUCUUCCGGAAAUACGACCACAUGAGGUGUGUCCAGCACUGUGCUGCAGCAUGGGACCCAAACCCCUGCCCUCUCCCAAAUGCCCUUUUCUAGGUACAAGGGCCUCAUCCUCACCUGUGUUCUUCCAUAUCCACGGAAAUCAGAAGGGUACUUCUGAGCCACCAUGUGCCCAGGGCUCCAUAUUCCUAGUCCUCAUCCAAGACGCCUCUUGUGAAAGGCCCAGAGACCACACAGAGGCACACUUGCAUUCCAUCCUCUCAGGGCUGCCAUCCUGGAAAAAAUGCCUCUUGUGGAGCGAGAUGGCCCUCAGGCUGAUGAGGAAGCAAAGGAAAGCAAAGAAGCAGCCCAGCUUUCAGAAGCAGCCCCAGUGCCCACAGAGCCCCAGGCCUCACAGCUCCUGGAUCUGCUAGAUCUCUUGGAUGGGGCUUCUGGGGAUGUCCAGCAUCCUCCCCCUCUGGACCCCUCCCCAGGAGGUGCCCUGAUACACCUGCUUGACCUUCCCUGUGUACCUCCACCCCCAGCGUCUUGCUCUGUCACCCAGGCUGGAGUGCAGUGGCGUGAUCUCGGCUCACUGCAACCUCUGCCUCCCGGGUUCAAGCUGUUCUUGUGUCUCAGCCUCCCAAGUCCGGGCCUCAGCUCCCAUCCCAGAUCUCAAAGUGUUUGAGCGUGAGGGAGUACAGCUGAAUCUGUCUUUCAUUCGACCCCCUGAAAACCCUGCUUUGCUGUUAAUCACCGUCACUGCCACCAACUUCUCAGAGGGUGAUGUCACCCAUUUCAUCUGCCAGGCUGCUGUGCCCAAGAGUCUCCAGCUGCAGCUGCAGGCCCCCAGUGGGAACACAGUUCCAGCUCGGGGUGGCCUUCCUAUCACCCAGCUCUUCAGAAUCCUCAAUCCUAACAAGGCCCCCCUGCGGCUAAAGCUGCGCCUCACCUACGACCACUUUCACCAGUCGGUGCAGGAGAUCUUUGAGGUGAACAACUUGCCUGUGGAAUCGUGGCAGUAACUGUCUCCACUCACAGCCUGAAAUUCUCCUGUGUCCCAAACCCCAGGGGGCCCCAGCAGCUUCGAACCUACACCUGAGGGCUACCAGCAGGUGGCGCUCUGGCUUUGCACUGCAAAAACUGGGGACCAGCCCCCUUCUCCCACAAAUAAAGCCCAAUAAAGCCUGAGAAGUGAGGAAAGCCA